rnacentral:sRNA from 17 species
GUCAGGAACCUCAGCCUAAAUGCAUGAGGCUUGCCGGAGAAAUCCAGUAAGCCAUUCUGACCAGCCACAGUCUUAACUGACUACAUUUCGAGAGUCACGACACCCUUAGAUGCGUGCUAGUCUUCUGCUCUGUC